rnacentral:rRNA from 1 species
AGUGAACGCUGGCGGUAGGCCUAACACAUGCAAGUCGAACGGCAGCACAGUAAGAGCUUGCUCUUACGGGUGGCGAGUGGCGGACGGGUGAGGAAUACAUCGGAAUCUACUUUUUCGUGGGGGAUAACGUAGGGAAACUUACGCUAAUACCGCAUACGACCUACGGGUGAAAGCAGGGGAUCUUCGGACCUUGCGCGAUUGAAUGGGCCGAUGUCGGAUUAGCUAGUUGGCGGGGUAAAGGCCCACCAAGGCGACGAUCCGUAGCUGGUCUGAGAGGAUGAUCAGCCACACUGGAACUGAGACACGGUCCAGACUCCUACGGGAGGCAGCAGUGGGGAAUAUUGGACAAUGGGCGCAAGCCUGAUCCAGCCAUACCGCGUGGGUGAAGAAGGCCUUCGGGUUGUAAAGCCCUUUUGUUGGGAAAGAAAAGCAGCAGGUUAAUACCCCGCUGUUCUGACGGUACCCAAAGAAUGAGCACCGGCUAACUUCGUG